rnacentral:snoRNA from 12 species
AAGCACUUUUUUGAACCUGGAAGGUCUUUUCAUUGGCCACACGGGUCAGAAGAAGUGCGAGAUCAUAUCAUGUCUUGUUAUAACUGGAGUCUCUUGGCAGUUUCACCAAGUCUCUCUUUUAAGGCAAGACACAGAU